rnacentral:rRNA from 1 species
UACGUAGGGGGGCAAGCGUUGUCCGGAUUUAUUGGGCGUAAAGAGCGUGUAGGCGGCUUGGUAGGUCUUGCGUCAAAACCUGAGGCUCAACCUCAGUUCGCGUGGGAAACCAUCUAGCUAGAGUCCGGAAGAGGAGAACGGAAUUCCCAGUGUAGCGGUGAAAUGCGCAGAUAGUUGGGAAGAACACCAGUGGCGAAGGCGGUUCUCUGGGACGGUACUGACGCUGAGACGGCGAAAGCGUGGGGAGCGAACAGG